UCAUAACAAGAGAAAUUUAUUGCUCACAGUUCUGGAGCCUGGGAAGUCCAAGAUCAACGUACCAGCAGAUUCAGAUGAAGGCGUGUUCUCAGCUUCAUAGGUGGUGCAUUCUUGCUGCUUCUUCACAUGAUGGAAGGAGUGAACAAGCUCCCUUGGGCCUCUUUUACAAAGAUGGCAAAGAAGGAGAGAAGAGAAGAAGUAGCCAGACAUUGGAAAGAAACAGCUUGACUUCAGAGGAAUGGCUUGAUGGUGGGACUUAGGAGAAGUGUACAGCAGGGGACUGCUGGACUCCAUGGGAAGAUCACCUUCCCACUCCAUCCCCCUUCCAGCUCCCCAUCCUGCUGGGAGCCACUUUCAUCAGUAAUAAAAUUCUCCGCAUUCAUCACCCUUCAAUUUUUUCAUGCAACCUUGGUUGCAAGGACUCAGGUGGAGAGACGAAGGAUCAAGCAAUGUGACUGGUAGAAACUGUGUUAUACAAGGUAAACCAAGAGAGAAUUGUGCAAAAAUGUCUUCAGGGUCACUUCUUUCCCUAACUUGGUCCCUCAGAGUUCUUUCCACUAGAUAUCCAGUGUGUUCAACCUAACUCCUAUCUGCAGUGGGCCUCCAAAUAUUGCACCCCUAUGGGCAGGGCUGUGUGUCAUUUCCCUGGCCCCUAUCUGGGUCAAAACUGUCAUUCCUCCAGGGACCUGCUGGGCAACUAGCAAACUAAUCUUCAAUGUAUUUUACCCAAGGUGUUAAUGACAGAUAAUGGCUUAAUGCAUUACCCCUCCCAGCUAACAUUUCCAUUUUAAUAGAGCCUUUAAAUGCUUUAACCUGAAGGAAACAGCAUGAAAAAUGCAGGGAUAGCAAAUAUCUGGCACCUUUGCUCCUUCCCUGUUCCUGGAAGACAUCUUCAAAUGGUCACUGAGGCUUUUCCUGCUAUGCCUGGACAUACCCUGAGAAGCCCAUAGGGCCCUGGGCAGCCCCUACCAGCCUAUGAUGGGAGUUACCAUGCAAGAUGAAAUCUAUUUGCCAACCUUAUCGUGAAACAAAUAUUUGUCCAGGAGUAAAAAGACCUGAAUUCUACUUUGGGGCUUUGACAUUACCUGGACAUAGGGCCUAAACAAAUUUAUUAGACAUUUCCAAGUCUCAGUUUCCUUACCCAUAAAAUGAGAGGACUGGCAUUAGAGUCAAGCAUUUCCAAAGCAUAGUUCUCAAUCUGCCAGGGACUCUCAAAAUCUGACCUCACAGCUCUCCAAGCUGGUUGCUGCUACCACGUACCUCUUCCCAUUUUUGCCUUGCUUCCCACAAGGGAAGGAAAUUCACUCCCAACUGGGCACCACCUUUCUAUCUCUAUUUGGGGACCUUCCUGUCCCUGAAAGGCCCUGGGAACAUAAUGUAAAGCAACUAUGGGGGCAGCUGCUAAGAAGCCAGAUCUUGUGACACUAAGAGUCCAGUCACGUGGUUCAGAGUCCACAGCAACCUGUGGCGACUAUGCAGUCAUCAGCCAGAGAGGCAGAGCCUCUGUCUGGAGAUGUGUCAGAAAUGGGUGUGACUAGUCCCAGACACAUCAAGUGAGGAAAAAUCAGGUGUGCAGAUUACGUUGUGUAAAUGCCUUUCUAAUUCUCAAUGCUCCAGGAAGGAAUCUCAGAGAUUAAAUUAAGCUGUUAACCCUCUAGGCGCUCCUGUCGUUUAUUGUUAAGGAAUUAAUAGGAAUGCGGGAAUGCAGAUGGCCUGGCUGUCAGCUCGGAGAGGCGAUUUUUCUGAUCUCCAAGGAGGUUUCCAGCAUCUUUCAUUAAGCACUCGUGUACCAACUUGUCAUUUUAACCGAGCAGCAAAGAAACUCCCACUCAACUGCCUACCUCAGGUGCUGGGAGUGCAAUCCUCGGAGGAGUCUUUCUGGGUUGCAGGUGCAGGGGAGGCGCCCAGGUGAUGGGGGUGGGGUGCAGCGAGAAAUGGAUUUAAAGCCACUCCAGGAAGGAAAUCGGAUCCCAAAACCUGGUUGUCCUGGGCACAGGCUUCAGGUGACUGCAGAAGAUUCCUCUCUAGCAAUCCUGAACUGAGCAGAGAUGUGAAAACUUACUUCUUUCCGCUUUCUCGAAGCGCUCCAGGACGCAGGUGGCACGCUCAACGCGGGGAGGCGCCACCUACAGGACAGAGGAAGACCUGCAGCUUGGGCUUGAGAUUUCAACAGUCUGUGGCGGGGGCUGAUGAGGGCGGCCCCUCCUCCUCCUGGAGUAAUAAUAGUCCCUGACAUUUAUCGAAUGCUCUUCUCGUGCCAGACACUGUCCUGAGCACUUGACAUGUAUUAAUGAUUUUAAACCUCACAACAACCCUAUUAGAAAAUUGUCUACAUUCCUGCCUGGGCAUGGUGGCUCAUGCCUGUAAUCCAGCACUUUGGGAGGCCGAGGUGGGCGAGUCACUUGAGUCAGGAGUUCGAGACCAGCCUGGCCAACAUGGUGAAACCCUGCCUCUACUAAAAAUACAAAAAAUUAGCUGAGCAUGGUGGUGCAUGACUGUAAUCCCAGCUACUUGGGAGGCUGGGUCAGGAGAAUCGCUUUAACUGGGAGGUGGAGGUUGCAGUGAGCCAAGAUCACGCCACUGCACUCCAGAGUGGGAAACAGAGCAAGACUCCACCUCAAAAAGAAGAAGGAGAAGGAGAAGGAGAUUAUCUACAUUCCUGAGGAGGAGAAGUUGUACUUAAACUACCUUGAUCCAACUUCCAGCUUUACAAUCAUUGCCCCCCACCAUGCAUAUAUCAUACAUAUAUACCUGCUAGCAUGAAUACCUGCAUCAUAUCUAGAAUUAAUGGGAAUAGUCAUAGGGCCAAUCUUUCUUAUAUCAAGCAAGCUGAACAAGGGUCCAAGGGAUAAGGCCACAGCUACUUCCUCCUGCUUUAGAACAGAGCUAAAUAAACCUGUUCCUAAGUCUUGUGAGUUAUUGCAUCCUUGCCUUAUAAGGAAUGAAGACUUAACCUGCUUCCUGGCAGUCAUUACUAACUGAGUGAAGAUUCCCAUUAAUCCAGAAAUGGGAGCCUCUCUGGCUUGCAUAUGUCCAGGAAUGGACAUACCACCCACAGUUUUACUCCUGGUGGCCAAUCGGUCCCGCACACAAACACAGGCACAUCUUUUAUUUAAUGCUCAAGAUUUGUGAACAACUCCCAGCACUGUGCCUUCCAAAGGGCUUGCAUUAAGUGCUGGUGAAGGAGCAGGGACCUCUAUCAUGGCCAGAGCCAGUCAAUAAUGACACCCUGGCAGCUCUCAAAGGUGCACGAGUGGAAUGGCCAUUGAGCUACUCCAUGCAAUGAAAAGUUCUAAUGGGGAGUGGGGACACUUCUCUCCCCAGUCCCAUCCCAUGGCUUGGCUGAAAAUUUUUUUCUUUUGGGAGAUCACUGGCUUUCUCCAGCAACCUUGACUAUAAGGAUGAGGAUGAGGAGAAAAAAUAAGAACUGCCGAGUGUGGUGGCUCACGCCUGUAAUCCCAGCACUUUGGGAGGCUGAGGUGGGUGGAUCACAAAGUCAGGAGUUCAAAACCAGCCUGGCCAAGAUGGUGAAAUCCCGUUUCUACUAAAAAUACAAAAGAAAAAAAAAUUAGCCAGGCGUGGUGGCGAGUGCCUGUAAUCCCAGCUACUGGUGAGGCUAAGGCAGAGAAUUGCUUGAACCAGGGAGGCAGAGGUCACAGUGAGCCGAGAUCAUGCCACUGCACUCCAGCCUUUGCAACAGAGUGAGACUCUGUCUCAAAAAAAAAAAAAGUACACAGGGGAGGUUGUGGGGAAUUUGGAAUAUUCCCUAAGGAUUUCCUCCAUUGAAGAGGUCUGCUUUAAAGUACUGGGGGUCCACAAACUCACCCCAUUUCCAGCUUGGCCUUGGGAGAAGAGGAGGACAGAGAACAGAAUUCUGGAUUGUUACUAGGUAGUUGGGCUGCAUCAGGAAGACAUUUUGGUAGAAGGAGAGGAAAGAGAGGUAGGAAGUGGGAAGGGAAGCACUAAGGGUUUUUUUUUUGACCCUGAUCCCCUUAGCUAGACAAGCUCAGUGGGGCUUAGGAUGGAGGUCAGGGAUAGCCUAAGAUCCUGUUACUGAAAGGGUAGUCUCCAGCCAGCAGCAUCAGCAUCACCUGGCUCUUAGGCUUCACCCCAGACCUACUGAAUCAGAAACUGCAUUUUAAUCCCUAGGUGAUAAGUAUGUCCAAUAAAAUUUCAGAAGCAUUAGCCUAGAUGCUUCAAUGGGAAUAACUUCUUGCAGUGAGCUAUUGAGGAACUGUGCUGGAUAAUCUCUCUGCCCUUCCAAAUCCACUUGCCAUCCUUAUUCCCCUGCUCUUGGGACUAAGAAGUGAAUUGAUGAAUUCGCUUCCUUUAUUCAUUGCUUCAACAGGCUCCCUUGUCAUCUGGCUUCUGGUUGGGCUCAGCCAAUGGUCAGUGCUCAAGAAGCAGUGACUUAAGUGACAUUAAUAGUGACUUUACCAGCCAGGCAGGGUGGCUCAUGCCUGUAAUCCCAGCACUUUGGGUGGCCAAGACGGGUGGAUCACCUGAGGUCAGGAGUUUGAGACCAGCCUGGCUAACAUGGUGAAAUCCUG
rnacentral:lncRNA from 10 species